UGGACAACAUAAGCCUGCCAGAAUUUGCCUGUCAACCCCGGAGCACGCCUAUCAAGCCCGCUCGUGUGGACAGGCCUUUGAUAAGGAUAUCAACUGGUUCCCGAAGAAUUCCUGUCUCAAAUUGACUUUGUGGAUUUACUGAACGACUAUCCGGGUUGGCUCAAAUCGACGGAGGAGGAAGAACCAGGAACCACUUAAACGUCAAAAUAAGUGGAACGGCGUCGAAACAGAGCGCCAUUUAACACACUUCAUAGGAGGACAGGAGUUGACAAUUGAACUGUGUUCAUUACAGAAAAUACUUGAGUGGAAUGAGAAGACGUGAGAAAUUCAAUGGAGUCUAAAGGUGUUUAAAUCAGGUAGACGACAAUUCACAGCCUAUGGCAUUUUAACAAAACAGAAAUGAUACACGCUUGAAACAAUUAUGGGGGAAAGUCAACAACCAAAUUACUGCUG